rnacentral:tRNA from 1 species
UUAACUAAAGCCAAAUAGAGGCAGGUCAUUGUUACUGACCUCACUGGGUCCCCCUAGUUAGU